GUUACCACCACUGAUUAUGACUAUCUUGUAAAAAAAAAAGAAAAAACAAAAAAGAAAAGAAAAGAAAAGUACAAAUAAAAAUAGUAAAUAACUCUUGGAAUAAUCCGGAGAUUCAUAAAUACAACCAUUUUACAUUGGUUUUUUCAUUAAUACUCUAGUGAUCUUUUAAAAAGACAUAUUACUCGUAUUUAGAGUUUGCAGUUAUAGUUUUCAUCGUCUUACAUUAAAAAACAUUGAAUAGAAAAAACCAAAACAUACACAGAUAUUAUUCGUAAACAACAAUUACAGAUAUAAUAAAAAAAAAUUUGUUAACAA
rnacentral:lncRNA from 1 species